AUUUACGUCAGAAAAAAACGCGAGAAGACAUGAAGGACCACAGGAGGCUUUUCUCCCAUGGGUGCUGCRGCCGGGUGACCCUGGCAUGCCCCUGCCCGCCACCUCCGCCGGCGGCACGCAGGACAGGGAGGAGCAAGGCAGUGGGGAAAACCUGUUUUCCCAACAUCAGCCGGGGGAGGGACAAUAAAUGGGAGAAACGGACUGCCCUGCACCCUCCUCGCUGCUGGGGCAUGCGGCACGCAGGCAGCCGGCAGCACUCGUGGCUGGGGGACGCCGGGGCCCCAUGACAAGGGAGCCGGCAGCUGCACCUGCCGGCACCCCACAUCCCUGGCCUCCCGCAGAGCAUUUGGGGAGGAUUUGGGGUUUUUUUCCCUCCCCCCCACCCUUCCAAGAUGAAGAAUUUAAUUUUAGUUUUUACAGCUCCUCCUAGAUGGAUAAAUCCCUUCCUGGCGAGCCCCAGCCCUGGAAAAUCUCGUGAAUCGAACGCUGGCCCUUCUGGCAGUUACCGGAGCAAUUCCUGCUUCUCUCCAGCCGCACUCUGUAAAGUUUUAUAGUUUCCUGGUUGGAGCUGUGAGGCCCCAGCGCUGUGGGGGCGGGGGGAGCCGGCAGCGCCCGGCCAGCGAGGAUCGCUCCAGCGUGCCGGGGAUCCGUCGCCCAGCGUGGGAUGUCCCGCCUCGGGAGCGGGGCAGAGCCGGCAGCAUCGCGAGCCUGCCGGGUGUGGAUGGGAGAGAGGCGGCACUCCUCCAUKGCUCCUGCUGCCUGGUGACCGGUUUCACCCCGGAGUGGGAUGCCACGUGGUGUCGGCCGCCCUCCUCUUGCUGCUCUGUGGGACCUUGCCAAAUACAGCAGUGCACGAGGGAAGAAGUCCGGUGCCCGAGAGGUCGGCGGGGGGAAGGACCGAUCCAGCUGCUCGCUGGCUCCUGCUGCGGGUGGGCAAAGAGAAAAGCGCCUGCUUGAUGUGCAGCCACAGGGCAGACCCUCUCGCUACAGAGGGCCAAACCCACCCUGCAGCAGAUUGCUCCAGCUGCCGGCAACCAGAUACGCGCAAAGAACCUACAAAUUCAUUGCGUGCAAUGUGAGCCUGGGUCUCAAGGCACUCCCAGGCUCCUUUGGCCAGACAAGAGGAGCAAACCCACAUGAACACAUUAUUAAAGCAAGGGAGCACUGAGCCAGCAGCCGCUGCCCACUGCCCUCCCAGCCCAGGGCCCGCUCCGCGAGCGCUCCUGUGCCCUACCUCCAUCCGGCGCGAGAGGCAGGGCGGCCUCCCCUCCUGCAGCCCAGCUCCAGGCUGGAAAAGCAGCAGACAGGCAGGCAGCUUUGCRGGAUCCCUGCAGGGCAGCACCGCGGGCACCGGGAAUGCAGAGAAACGCAAGCAGCUGACUGAUGCCCAGUGUGCCAAAACGACUCCAGUUUCCUCAUCUCCAUCCCGCCCUGGUGGAGGCUGAGCUGCUAAGGAGGAGCAGGAACAGCAGUGGGAUCCAAGCGCUGUGAGCCGGGAUCAUGUUCCUGCCUGCAAUACGCCUCAGGAGGAGCACAGAUGCAGCUGGUUUUCACAGCACUGGUGCAAAGCUCACGCUCCAGGGAAGGCGGCCAGCUCCCUGCGUUUCCCAGUGCCCAGCGAGGGCACCACAGCAAGGCAGCAACAGCCACCACCAUCCUCAUCCCCAGGGUGAUGCUGGACAAUUCACCUCUCUACAGGGCCAGCUCCAGCUCCUGGCUGCAGCACAGGGAGCACCAGCCUACACCCCACAGCAGCACCGAUUUUAAAGGCUGGGGGAUCUCUGGGAGCCGGCAGGCUGCAGCGAGACAGCCCUCUGGCUUGCAGGAGUGCUAAUUAGCGCUAAUUAGCACUCAGCAGGCCUGUCUGGCUGCUGGGAGGGCUGGGGCUGCAGGUGAGGGCUUUGCCCCGCAGCUGGAGGGAGGCUCUCGGGGUUUUGCGGACCCAUGCACAAAGCAGCCGCUCAGCUGGGUGGCCGGGACGAACCAGCCUGCCGCGUGCGAGCGGCUGGGCUGCACGGGAGCAGCAGGGGAGGCAGCACAGGGCUCUGGUGCUGCCGAGAGGAUGAGGAGGGUGAGCUUGUCCAGGGUGAASGGCAGCAAAACGCUGGGGUGCAGUGAUGCUGCUUCUCAUCCCUCCUCGGGGACGUGGGCUUUGCUCUCCCCGGCAG
ensembl:lncRNA